rnacentral:lncRNA from 1 species
AGUAAACUGAAGUUGCAGAACAGUAAUAGCGGUGAGUAAAUACAUUGAUUUAUCGCAAAUAAAAUGGGCCACGGGUCCUCGCAGUAAGGAUGUGGCUCCAUGGGAUGUAGUUGUGAAUUUCCUUUCUGCCUUUCCUGUCUCCCCACAAGAGGAAAAGAUUAGAUCCCCGAUCUUGAGAGAUGUUUUCACCUGACAUUUGUUGUAGGAAAGACAGUACAGUGUGAAGUUUAGAAAUUGAUCUUUUCCUAGAAAUGUCAAAAUACAGCUUUGAUUAUUACACCAGAAAAGAACUGUACUUCUGAUACUAAAGUAUUUAGCUGAGACCUGAUCUCAUUCGAGAAGUAGUUCCUGUUUAGCUGUAAGCACAGUACUGAGGAGCAGUGUGAUGUGGUCCGUCUCACCCUAACCAUGUAACAAAGCUGGGAGUUUAGGGAGAUUUCCUAAAUCAUUUUUGCUUAAAUUUACUUUAUGAGCUGAAAUUGUGACCGAAUUUUAGAAUGUUUACAAUAUACUUGUUGAUGUAUACACUAGUGAGUCCCCUACACUCUAUAAUUAAUUUCUGUAUCCCAAAGUGCAUUUAUGGUGUUGACAUUGAGAAAUCAAGGGUUCGCAUGUAUUUAUGUGACUUUAAUGUCUUGCUCCCGAGUUCUCUUCACUAGGGCAGCUGUUUUUGAAUUUGUUAACCAAGAUCUAGGUCUUCAAGGCUCUCACUGUAUAAAAGGAGCGGUGUUAGGUAAUGUAUGUUAGUAGGGUUUUAUUCACAGACCUAUACAUUUUAGAUACAUUGCCAAUAAAUUAGACAGUUUGAAUUAAAGGAUGAUGCCUUAUUUAAAGCAGAUAGUAUUAUUAAAUUACUAGAAGAAAUUUACUAAUAUCAAGUAUGGCCUAGUAUAGAAGAAUUAAUAGUAUCAAAAGCCCUUCAAUAAGUUACCUUUGUAAUUCAUUCACUUCU